rnacentral:rRNA from 1 species
CUAAUGUUUCUGAUUUAUUCUUUCAUGAAAUUAUUCGCUUGCAUGGUGUGCCAAAUACUAUUUGUUUCAGAUUGUGAUACUAAAUUUCUUAGCCACUUUUGGAGAUGUUUAUGGGCUAAGUUGGGGACUAAACUGCUUUUUAGUACUACUUGUCGCCCCCAAACUGAUGGACAAACUGAAAUAGUCAAUAGAACAUUGUCUACCAUGCUUAGGGAUGUUUUGAAGAAUAAUAAGAAAAUGUGGGAAGAAUGCUUGCAUCAUAUUGAAUUUGCUUAUAAUUGUUCUUUGCAUUCUACUACUAAAAUGUGUCCUUUUGAAAUUGUGUAUGGUUUCCUACCUCGUGCACCCAUUGAUUUGUUGCCUCUUCCAUCUUUGGAGAAGGUUAAUUUUGAUGCUAAACAACGUGCUGGAUUGAUCUUAAAAAUGCACGAGUUAACUAAGGAAAACAUUGAGCGUAAAAAUGCUAAAUAUAAACUUGCUGGAGAUAAGGGUAGAAAA